rnacentral:rRNA from 1 species
UGAGGAAUAUUGGUCAAUGGGCGCGAGCCUGAACCAGCCAAGUAGCGUGAAGGAUGAAGGUCCUAUGGAUUGUAAACUUCUUUUAUAGCAGAAUAAAGUGACCCACGUGUGGGUUUUUGUAUGUAUGCUGUGAAUAAGGAUCGGCUAACUCCGUGCCAGCAGCCGCGGUAAUACGGAGGAUCCGAGCGUUAUCCGGAUUUAUUGGGUUUAAAGGGUGCGUAGGCGGAAAGAUAAGUCAGCCUGUGAAAGUUUGCGGCUCAACCGUAAAAUUGCAGUUGAUACUGUUUUUCUUGAGUGUACAUAAGGUAGGCGGAAUUCGUGGUGUAGCGGUGAAAUGCUUAGAUAUCACGAAGAACUCCGAUUGCGAAGGCAGCUUACCGGGGUACAACUGACGCUGAUGCACGAAAGUGUGGGUAUCAAACA